CUACUGUAGAAAGACAAUAAAUGAUCAUAAAUAAUGCAAACAAGAUAUGGCAAGGACCACUGCAUGUUAGUAUCAUAUAUUUCAUUAUUUAAACAAUUCAGCACAAUGUGGAACACCACAUUCAUUGCUGCUACAGCACCAUAGACCGGGCGGAGAAUAGGGGAAUCGUCACCAAAAAGUGAAAUUUAUGAGACCAAGUCAGUUUGGUUAAUUUGAGAGCGCUAAUUUUGAUAAUUAACAAUUAUUGGAUGAGGUUUUUGUGAUAUGCGGAAUUAUCAAGGUCGAGGUAAGCGUUA